UAUGGAGGAGGUGGGGAGUGGAUUGGUGGUGGUGGAGACUUGUGAAUAUAAGGAGGGGGUGGUGAAUGAACUGGUGGUGGUGGAGACUUGUAGAUAUAUGGUGGAGGUGGGGACUGGACUGGUGGUGGUGGAGACUUAUAGACAUAUGGAGGAGGAGGAGAGUGGACUGGUGGUGGUGGAGACUUGUAAAUGUAAGGAGGGGGUGGUGAAUGGACUGGUGGUGGUGGGGACUUAUAGAUGUAGGGUGGAGGUGGUGAAUGGAUAGGUGGUGGAGGGGACUUAUAUAUGUAAGGAGGAGGUGGAGAAUGGACUGG
rnacentral:lncRNA from 1 species